ensembl:antisense Gm16365 predicted gene 16365
UUUGAUUUCUUGAUGGCUGACUAUGAGUACUGAAAACUCCAACCCGGCAGCGAGUAGUGCUGUGUGCCUCUCCUUAUAGAGUUAAACUCAGCCAGGCCUGCCCGAGAGAAACCCUAAACUGGCGCCACAUUCCUGCUGGAACUCUGUCACAGUCUCAGCUCAAACUGGCCUCCAGAUGGACAAGGUGAAGAGACAGAGGCCAUACCCAUGAGGAAGAGGCUCUUGGCAGACAUGGAAUCUACUGUCACCUUAUUCUUGGAUUCUUAAGCCUCGUAAACACUGGUGCUCUCUCCAGACCUCCCAAAGUCCAGGGAAUAUAUGAACAAUUCUACGCACUGGCUGAAACAGACACAUACCAAUGGCAGCUUUGCCAAAAGAGUAGACACUGCAACUG